CGCGCAGGCGGUGGCGUGAGCCCGGCGUGAAAGCCCCCAGCUCAACUGGGGGAGGCCGUCGGAGACCGCGCGACUUGAGGCCGGUAGGGGAGAGCGGAAUUCCCGGUGUAGUGGUGGAAUGCGUAGAUAUCGGGAGGAACACCAGUGGCGAAGGCGGCUCUCUGGACCGGUUCUGACGCUCAGGCGCGAAAGCGUGGGGAGCGAUCCGGAUUAGAUACCCGGGUAGUCCACGCUGUAAACGAUGGGUGCUAGGUGUCGGGGGUAUCGACCCCUCCGGUGCCGUCGCUAACGCAAUAAGCACCCCGCCUGGGGACUACGGCCGCAAGGCUAAA
rnacentral:rRNA from 1 species